GGCGAGCCACGAAGAAGGGGCGCUAGCACCGCGACGAGAGGCUGGCGGACCCCAGAAGUGGAGGGGCGGGCGGGGGCGGCGGGGACGCCGCGCGGGCUGGAAAGCCAAGGAGGAAGGAGACGAAAACGCGGUGGCGGCGCCCAGGCAGGACGGCGGACACCGAGUCCGCGCCUGGGGCGUAGGAAGAGGAAGACGCGCACGGCCGGCGGGGAAGGGGCUGCGGAAGCCAGGGGCGCCGGCUGGGAGCAGGAGGCCACCAUCGCGGCGGAGGGAGGCCGCCACCCGGUGUUGGAACCGGCGUUGGUGAGGUUCUCUGUCUGUAUUGCUGCUGCGGGCCCUGGUGAGGUGGGGGUGUUACCUCCGUUUCUCAGAGGAGGAAGCCAAGGUACAGAGAAGAUUAAAAUCCACACAUGUCUGCUGGGCAGCACAGGCUCAUGCCCUGAGAAGAGGUGCAGAGGAGAUACAAGUUUGGUCCUGGCCUUAGGUCAGAAAGGCCUUUAUGGGUCAGCUCCCACAGCCAGCGGCUGUUUGAUUCUGGGGAGACUGUUCAAGUUUUCUGAGUCUUGUUUCUCUUAUCUGUGAAAGGUAGUUACUGAAAACCUAAAGUAUGAGGAUGCAUGUGAAGGGUGUGUAGUGGGUGGGUGUGAAGUGGUCUCUCAGUGGGGAUUCGAUUUGCGUUGUCCAGAGGCUAAUCACAGUGAGCACCUGCACGGGCAUUGGUCUUUUGCAUAUCUUCUUUGGAGAAGUGUCUGUUCAAGUCCU